rnacentral:rRNA from 1 species
UACGGGGGGGGCAAGCGUUGUUCGGAAUUACUGGGCGUAAAGGGCUCGUAGGCGGCCAACUAAGUCAGACGUGAAAUCCCUCGGCUUAACCGGGGAACUGCGUCUGAUACUGGAUGGCCUGAGUUCGGGAGAGGGAUGCGGAAUUCCAGGUGUAGCGGUGAAAUGCGUAGAUAUCUGGAGGAACACCGGUGGCGAAGGCGGCAUCCUGGACCGAUACUGACGCUGAGGAGCGAAAGCCAGGGGAGCAAACAGG